AACGAACGCUGGCGGCAGGCCUAACACAUGCAAGUCGAGCGAAGCCUUCGGGCUUAGCGGCGGACGGGUGAGUAACGCGUGGGAACGUGCCCUUUGGUACGGAAUAGCCCCGGGAAACUGGGAGUAAUACCGUAUGUGGUCGAGAGACGAAAGAUUUAUCGCCAAAGGAUCGGCCCGCGUUGGAUUAGGUAGUUGGUGGGGUAAUGGCCUACCAAGCCGACGAUCCAUAGCUGGUUUGAGAGGAUGAUCAGCCACGCUGGGACUGAGACACGGCCCAGACUCCUACGGGAGGCAGCAGGGGGGAAUCUUAGACAAUGGGGGAAACCCUGAUCUAGCCAUGCCGCGUGAUCGAUGAAGGCCUUAGGGUUGUAAAGAUCUUUCAGUGGGGAAGAUAAUGACUGUACCCACAGAAGAAGCCCCGGCUAACUCCGUGCCAGCCGCCGCCGUAAUAC
rnacentral:rRNA from 1 species